UACAUUUUGGUGUAUGGUGCACGUGAAUUUUUGAUAUUUUCGGUAAUAGUUUAAUUCUAUUAAAUGUAA
rnacentral:tRNA from 1 species